GUUUCACUGGCGUUGUGGCUUAUAAAUCGGGGCCGAUGUCAUCUGAACGGGAGUUUCUCUAUCCAGGCUGUGUGAGUCCCUCUGUGGGAAACCUGAUGUCUGGAUGCAACGCCCACCUUGUCAUAAAGGGUUCAGUAUUUAUAGGCCACAACGCCAGUGAAAUU
rfam:Mariprofundus ferrooxydans PV-1 scf_1099921033919 genomic scaffold, whole genome shotgun sequence.